CGCGUAGGUGGUAGUGCAAGUCUGGGGUGGAAUCCUGCGGCUUAACCGCAGAACUGCCUUGGAAACUGUAUUACUUGAGUCAGUGAGGGGAGGGUAGAAUUCCUGGUGUAGCGGUGAAAUGCGUAGAUAUCAGGAGGAAGGCCGGUGGCGAAGGCGGCCCUCUGGCGCUGAACUGACACUGAGGCGCGAAAGCGUGGGUAGCAAACAGGAUUAGAUACCCUGGUAGUCCACGCCCUAAACGGUGGGUACUAGGUGUAGGGCUCGUAAGGGUUCUGUGCCGAAGGGAACCAUUAAGUACCCCGCCUGGGGAGUACGGCCGCAAGGUUGAA
rnacentral:rRNA from 1 species